UGGCUCAGAACGAACGCUGGCGGCAGGCCUAACACAUGCAAGUCGAGCGCCGUAGCAAUACGGAGCGGCAGACGGGAGAGUAACACGUGGGAACGUGCCCUUCAGUUCGGAACAACCCAGGGAAACUUGGGCUAAUACCGGAUACGUCCGUAAGGAGAAAGAUUUAUCGCUGAAGGAUCGGCCCGCGUCUGAUUAGCUUGUUGGUGAGGUAAUGGCUCACCAAGGCGGGGAUCAGUAGCUGGUCUGAGAGGAUGAUCAGCCUCACUGGGACUGAGCCUCGGCCCAGGAUCCUACGGGAGGCA
rnacentral:rRNA from 2 species